GCCUUCGUAGUGUAGUGGUCAGCACGCUCGAUGCGUAACCGAGAGGUCCGUGGUUCGAUUCCCGGCGAAGGCU
rnacentral:tRNA from 1 species